CCUACGGGUGGCAGCAGUAGGGAAUAUUGCUCAAUGGGGGAAACCCUGAAGCAGCAACGCCGCGUGGAGGAUGAAGGUUUUCGGAUUGUAAACUCCUUUUGUUAGAGAAGAGAAUGACGGUAUCUAACGAAUAAGCAACGGCUAACUCCGUGCCAGCAGCCGCGGAAAGACGGAGGGGGCAAGCGUUACUCGGAAUCACUGGGCGGAAAGAGCGCGUAGGCGGGAUAGCAAGUCAGAUGGGAAAUCCUAGGGCUUAACCCUAGAACUGCAUUUGAAACUGUUAUUCUAGAGUAUGGGAGGGGUAGGUUGAAUUCUUGGUGUAGCGGUCAACUCCGUAGAGAUCACGAUGAAUACUCAUUGCGAAGGCGACCUGCUAGAACAUAACUGACGCUGAUGCGCGAACGCGUGGGGAGCAAACAGGAUUAGAUACCCCUGUAGUC
rnacentral:rRNA from 1 species